AGCAAUGAGAGUGCAGGCACAGGUGCGGCCGGUUUCCUUGUCGCUGUCCCGCGCUGAGUGAGUUUUGCCUCGAAGCUGGUCCGAAGUCGCGCCUGCUCUUUUGUGUGCCCAAGGCAGAUUUCCAGAAGUAGAAAUCUGUCUUCUAACUCUAAGGCCUUGGGAGAUGAAGGAUCCGUGAUUCAAAGGCAGAAAUGAGGAAUUCCUAAAGCUGUACCUAUUCUGUGGGACUUUACCUCUACCUGGUCUCAGUUUAUUGGAUUAAGGUUGAACACCUAAACCAAAGAGACCCAAUUAAUAAGCUGAAGUAAAGAGCAUCAUGUUCUCUUUGGACACUGGACAAAUGGAUGUUGAUGAGCUUGUGUGCAGCAGUUCUACUGGAAAGACGGGAUUUCACUAUGUUGGACAAGCUGGUCUCCAACUCCUGACCUCUGGUGAUCUGCCCACCUCGGCCUCCCGAAGUGCUGAGAUUACAAGGGUGAGCUACCAUGCCCAGCCAGUCGUGUGUAUAUUUUACAAUAUGAUGUAUGAAUGGUAAGUGUGACCUCAGCUUUCAGAAAGGUAAAGUAAGGGCCUCUGAAAAUCUACUCCUCCAUAAAAGCAACAAGAACACUGGGAAAUUGUCAAAAUUAACUUUUUCAGAAUGCUGGAAACCAACUAAAAGCUUAUAACAAUCCAAGAAGUAGUUAUUUAAGACAAAUGGCUGAAUCUCAUAACAAUGAGACUUGAGGUGUUUUAACUCUUCCUAAUCCCUUCUCUCUCUCUCUAGCUUUACAGUAGCUUUAAAAACCAACAGCUUCACAACUAUGGUAGCUGUGAAACCCACCAGCCCACUGUCAUUUUUAGAAGGCAGAACAGGUUAAGAGGUCCUCAAAAGCCUCAUCCCUAGGGUAUUUUUAGUAUUCAGCCUGUCUGGCACCUUACUGAAAAGCUCCGUUCUCAGGGCUUGUAUUUAUUUGACAUGACUCAGAGCUCACUUUGUGCAAACAGCUCCGCCAGCAGGGAAUUUGACAAAGACAAUGAGCAGCAGUUGUUUAAUAUUGCAGCUGCCUAAGGCAGUAUUGCCAUUUAGGGCUAGCAAAAUGCUGACCUAAACACUUAAAUGGAAAAACUGAGUAUAUUAGUCAGGAUUCUCCAGAGAAGCAGAACCAAUAAGAUGAAUGGAUGGGUGGAAAGAUGGAUAGAUAGAUAGAUAGAUAGAUAGAUAGAUAGAUAGAUAGAUGAUACAUACAUACACACGUAUACAUACAUAUGUCACAGGAUCCUUAGGGUGUUGCUUCACCAGCCAGAAACCUCUGUGGCUAGUGGCACCUUCUGCCUGAAUAUUGCUUGCACCUGCUGGAUUCAUUCUGCCCACUCGGCCUGGCAAGCUGUGCUCAGCUCGGGCUACCGGCCCGGAUCCCACACCUGCCAACAGCAAACCAGGUUCAGAGUGGUGAGGAGUGUGUGGGCCAGUGAGCGUGGGGUCCGGCCACUGUGCACAGCCAGGCAGGCUGGCUACUGUGGCAAGGCAGGCAGCUGCAGGCGCCAGCACAGGUGCUGGCUCCAUGCGAGGCUGUGGCCGGUCCAAAUGUACUGUGUGCAGAUUCUGUUACAGACACCCACAUCUGAAUGAGGGGAACGCAGUGGCACCCGGAAGCUUGGAGACACCAGGAACCACAGAGCCCUAAAGAGGGUGUCACAGCCCUGGCUGGGGAGCCCCUAGGUCUGGGCUUCCUGAAGGGCCACACCUCUUCUCUCCUUCUUGUCGUCCAUAACAUGGCAAGCAGGGGGGCAUGUUUCAUCCCUGUUUGUGUUAUAGCUCUUUCAGUCCUGCCAUUUGUUGGGUCUUGAGCUCUUAUCCUGCAUCCAGGAAGAAUGAGGUAUGCAAGCAAGCAAGGUGGAGAGGGCAAGCAAGGUGGAGAGGAGCUUCAUUGAGUGACAGAACAUCUCUCAGGAGACCUGAAGUGGGUAGCUCCUUUCUGCAGAAAUCAACAAGAUAAUUCUAAAAUUCAUAUGGAAACACAAAGAGGCCAGGCGUGGUGGCUCACGCCUGUAAUACCAGUACUCUGGGAGGUCGAGGCUAGUGGAUCACUUGAGAUCAGGAAUUCGAGACCAGCCUGCCAACAUGGUGAAACACCGUCUCUACUAAAAAUACAAAGAUUAGCCAGGAGUGGUGGCAUGCGCCUGUAGUUCCAGCUACUGGGGAGGCUGAGGCAGGAGAAUCACUUGAACCUGGGAGGCGGAGGUUGCAGUGAGCUGAGAUUACACCACUGCACUCCAGCCUGGGUGAUAGAGCGAAACUCAGUCUAAAAGAAAUGCCAGGAACUCAGAAUAGUCAAAACAUUUUGAAAGAAAAAGGCAAAGUUGAAAAAUUUUAAACUUCCAUAUUUUAAAACUUACUACAAAGUUAAUAUGUAGUACUAACAUAAGAAUGCCAGUAUAGAUCAACAGAAUAGAAUUGAAAGGCCAGAAAUAAAUUCUUGUAGUUAUGAUAAAUUGAUUUUCAAGAAGAGUGUCAAGAUCAUUUAAUGAGAGGGAAUAUUUUAUUUUUCAACAAAUUAUGUUAAUAUAACUGGAUAGCCACAUGCAAAAGCAUGAAUUGAGAUCCCUGUCUCACAUCAUAUACAAAAAUUAACUCAAAUGGGAACUAAAUAUAAGAGGAAAAACUGCAAAACUCUUAGAAGAAAAAAUAUGCUUAAAUCUUUGUGACUUUGGAUUGGGCAGUGGCUUCCUAGACACCAAAAGCACAAGCAACAACAACAACAAAAAAAUAGAUAAUUUGGACUUCAUAAAAAUGAAAAACUUUUGUUCUUCUAAGGAUACCAUCAAGAAAGUGAAAAGACAGCCCAUAGAAUCACAGGAAAUAUUUGAAGAUCAUAUAUUGGAAAAGGAGCUUGUGUCCAGAAUAUGUAAAAACACCAAUAACCCAAUUUAAAAAUGGGUAAAGAAUCUUAACAGACAUUUCUCCCCAGAAGACAGACAAAUGGCCAAUAAGCACAUGAAAGAUGCUCAGCUCCAUUAGUCAUCUGAGACUAAAUAAAAAAAUAAAUCAGAACUACAAGAUACCACUUCACACCCACUAGGGUCACUGUAAUUUUAAAAAUAUAUAAUAACAAGUGUUGGCGGGAUGUGGAGAAUUUGGAAUGCCCAUACAUUACUCAUGGGAUUGUAAAAUGAUGCAGCCACUUUGGAAAACAGUUCAGCAGUUCCUCAAAAUGUUUUUUUUUAAAAAAAGGAAUUAUCAUCUGGUCCAGCAAUUCCACACCUAGAUAUAUAUACAAGGCAAUUGAAAAUAUGUUCACACGAAAAUAUGGGCACAGAUGUUUGCAACACUGUUACUCAUAAUAGCCAGAAAGUGAAAACAACUCAAAUGUUUAUCAAUUAAUGACUGGAUAAACAAAAUGUAGUAUAUUCCAUAUAAUGGUAAUGUUCCAUAACAUGGAACAUUAGUCAUUACUGAAUCAUAAAAAGAAAUGAGAUUCUGAUACAUGUUAUAAUGUGAAUGAACCUUUAAAACAUUAUGCUAAGUCUAAGAAGUCAGACACAAAAGACCACAACUUAUGUGUUUUCAUUCAUAUGAAAUCCCCAGAAUAGACAAAUCCAAAGAGAUGGAAAGUAGAAUAUUGUUUGCCAGGGAUUGGGGGUGGUAAGGAGGCAAUGAGAAUUGGCUACUUAUAUGUAUGCUUUUUUUUUUUUUUUUGAGUGAUAAAAACAUUCUGGAAUUAGAUGGUGGUGAUAAAUGCACAACUUUGUGAGUAUACUAAAAACCACUGAAUUGUAUAUUGUAAAGGGGUAAACCUUAUGGUAUACAAAUUAUAUUUACUAUAGCUGUUUUUAUUUUUUAGAGAUGGGAUCUCACUGUCACCCAGGCUGGAGUGCAGUAAUGUGAUCUGAGCUCACUGCAAACUUCGCCUCCUAGGCUCAAUUGAUCCUCCUGCCUUAGCCUCUAAGUAGCUGGGAUUACAGGUGUGUGCCACCACGCCCAACUAAUUUUUGUAUUUUUUGUAGAUACGGAGUUUUGUAAUGUUGCCCAAGCUGAUCUCACACUCCUAAGUUCAAGUGAUCCACCCGCCUUGGCCUCCCAAAGUGCUGGGAUUACAGGCGUGAGUCACUGUGCCUGGCAUAUUUUUAAAAAUUAUAAAUGCAACUUUUUCUUCAUUUUUGAGGGGAAAUGCAUGAAAUAGAAUUUAUCAGAAUUACUAUGUUUUUAUAACAGUACUACCAACAGUGAGUUUGUCUGUGUAUGAAGUUUCAUAUUUUAUGCAUCCUGGCAUAUUGGACCAUGUCUUAACAAUAUAAUGCAUCAUGUCCUGAUAAAGUCUUGCGAUCCCAGAAGCACAUGUGACUGAGAAUGAAUUAGUAUCUAGGAUAUAUAAAAAAUGCUUACAAGUCCAUAAGAAAAACAUCUUUAAAAAAGGACAAAAUAAAUAAUUAGAAAAUGUACUCAAAAGGAAAUUGGAAUGACCAAUAAACAUAUAAAAAUGUGUUCAACAUCACUAGUAACCUGAGAAGUGCAUGUUAAAUCCAAAAUGAGAUAGGCUGAGGUGGGCAGAUCACUUGAGGUCAGGAGUUCGAGACCAGCCCAGUCAACAUGGUAAAACCCUGUCUCUAUGAGAAAUACAAAAAAAAAUUAGCUGAGUGUGGUGAUGGGUGACUAAUCCCAGCUACUCGGGAGGCUGAGGCACAAGAAUCACUUGAACCUGGGAGCAGAGGUUGCAGUGAGCUAAGAUCGCGCCACUGCACUCCAGCCUGGGCAACAGAGCGAGACCUCAACUCAAAAUAAAUAUAAAAAAACAAAAUGAGAUAGGUUUUGGCAUCCAUCCAUCCAUCUGAUUGACCAAAAUUCUACAGGGAUACAAUACCAAAUAUUACUAAGGAUAUUUAGCAUUUAUCCAUUGCUGGCAAUAUUAUAAUUUGGUACAGUCACUUUGGACAACAAUUUGACGAAAUCUAGUAAAGCUGACAAUGCAUACUCCCUAAGCAAUUUCACACCUAGACUGGGCAUACCUACAAGGAGAGAUAUAUGGGAAUAGCACAUUCAUGGCAGUAUUUUUUGGUAGUAAACAAUCUAAAUGUCCACUUAUAGGAAAAUAAUAAAGAAGGCACACUGUACCAUAAUUAUAUUGCAGUAAAAAAUGAGUUAGAGCCACAGGAAUAAACAUAGAUUCAGUAACAUAAUAUAGAGGAAAGAAAGUAAGAUGCAUAAAGAUGCACACAUUAUGAAGCCAUUAAAAUGGUGUUGAAGUGUAAGAAAUAGUAAACUAAUGUAUUGUUUAGAAAUUGACGCAUAGGUAGUAAAGUAUUAUUUUUUAAAAAGUAUGUGAAUGAUAAACACCAAAUUAGUAUAAUGGUUAGCCAUGUGAGGAAGGGAGAUGGGUGAAUUUUAGGAUGAGUUCACUUGAAGCUUCGACACUUUGGGUAAUGUGUGUUUUAUUUUUCUUAAGCAAGAUGCUAGGUACAUGGCUAUUAUGCAUUUUGCAUAUCUAAUCAUCUAAUUAUAUAAUAUUAAGUUUAUUUAUAUUAAAUUUAGUUUAUAUACAAAAACCAAAACAAAUGAAUGAUUAGCAAAAAAAGGGCAAUAAACAUGGAAACUAGGAAUAUCAUUCAAAGUGUUACCACUCUAAAAAUGAACAUCACCAUCCUUAUGUCACUUUAAGCUUAUGAUUCUGACAUUGUUUAUAGUCCAGAAUCUAAAUUAUCUCCCAGUUAUUUCCUUUUUAAAAAUUCAUACUUGGGAAUAUCCCAGUUUUAUCAGUCUCAAACUGCAUGGUCCAGUAGUUGCUUAUUUCUUGUCUCUUCUUUUUUCUCAGAUCACAAAUUAACAUUUUCUCCUACCUAGUAUAUAUCUGCUCCAUCAGAAACAAUCUUCCUUAUAUUUUAUAUUAUUUUAUUGUUCAUAGGAUAUUUGCAUAUUUAUUAUUUCUUGUGAUAUUUUACAUGUAUUUCUCUUUUUAAGGAUGGGAAUAUAAUCAUAGAAAGGCUAAGCCAUUUUUCCAAAGUCACUUUGCAUGCGGUUGAAGCAUGAUUAAAUUUCAGGUUCUAAUUUUUAGUCCACUGGGACAUUAACUACCCUUUUCUCCACCAAGUGUCACAGCUUCAAUACUUCUGCUCAUGUCAAAAGGUGCUCCUUAUGGGGGAGGGGAUGGGGAACGUGGAUGGGCGGAAAGAGGAGCAUGUCUGCCUACUCUCACUUAACCAGCCAAAACAUUUUGCUUCUUUCCCAGACAUCCACUCCUUUUACCUCUCGAAAUAGCUCUGCCCCAAGGAAGGAGUAGCUGCUAAUCUAAUUGGUCAGAGCCUAAUAGUCAUUGGAUACCAUUUUACUAGUGGGUAGGGUCACUAUGCAUUUAAAGAACGGCACCCACACUCAUCACUCAUUAUCUAAUUCUAUGAAGUUGAAAAAUGCCCAGGCAUGGCCUGUAUCUGUUGGGCAGGUCUAUUUAUUUGAGCUUCUUCCAGCCUGCAAUUUGAUGUGUAAGUCAGGCUGAGCUCUGCCCCUCUGACACGGCCAUUUCUGUUUUAGGGGGUGCUGGCCAGGGAGGGAGGCUGUCUGCCGAGUUGCAUUCUCCAUUCUGGCUCUGCCAGAGUUCUGCCUUGAGGGGCUGUGAGUGCUUCUCUAGCUGUUCAUAAAAUGGUAUUUUCUCCCUUCUGACUCUUGCUUCUCACGUCUACGGGUGGCUUUUAUACUUGGGUACCCUGCCUGGUAGGGCAGUAGG